rnacentral:rRNA from 1 species
CCUACGGGUGGCACCAGUAGGGAAUCUUCGGCAAUGGACGAAAGUCUGACCGAGCAACGCCGCGUGAGUGAAGAAGGUUUUCGGAUCGUAAAACUCUGUUGUUAGAGAAGAACAAGGACGUUAGUAACCGAACGUCCCCUGACGGCAUCUAACCAGAAAGCCACGGCUAACUACGUGCCAGCAGCCGCGGUAAUACGUAGGUGGCAAGCGUUGUCCGGAUUUAUUGGGCGUAAAGCGAGCGCAGGUGGUUUCUUAAGUCUGAUGUGAAAGCCCCCGGCUCAACCGGGGAGGGUCAUUGGAAACUGGGAGACUUGAGUGCAGAAGAGGAGAGUGGAAUUCCAUGUGUAGCGGUGAAAUGCGUAGAUAUAUGGAGGAACACCAGUGGCGAAGGCGGCUCUCUGGUCUGUAACUGACGCUAAGGCUCGAAAGCGUGGGGAGCAAACAGGAUUAGAUACCCCGGUAGUC